CCGGUGACAAACCGGAGGAAGGUGGGGAUGACGUCAAAUCAUCAUGCCCCUUAUGAUUUGGGCUACACACGUGCUACAAUGGACAAUACAAAGGGCAGCGAAACCGCGAGGUCAAGCAAAUCCCAUAAAGUUGUUCUCAGUUCGGAUUGUAGUCUGCAACUCGACUACAUGAAGCUGGAAUCGCUAGUAAUCGUAGAUCAGCAUGCUACGGUGAAUACGUUCCCGGGUCUUGUACACACCGCCCGUCACACCACGAGAGUUUGUAACACCCGAAGCCGGUGGAGUAACCUUUUAGGAGCUAGCCGUCGAAGGUGGGACAAAUGAUUGGGGUGAAGUCGUAACAAGGUAGCCGUAUCGGAAGGUGCGGCUGGAUCACCUCCUUU
rnacentral:rRNA from 1 species